AUGCUCCCUUCGGCAGCACAUUUACUAAAAUUGGACAAUACAGAGAUUAGCAUGGCCCCUGAGCAAGGAUGGCAUGCAAAUGCGUGAAGCGUUCCAUAUUUAA
rnacentral:snRNA from 1 species